AGUGGCGAACGGGUGAGUAACACGUGGGUAACCUACCAUAUAGACAGGGACAACAGUUGGAAACGACUGCUAAUACCUGAUAACAUAAGCUAUCGCAUGAUAGGUUAUGGAAAGGGGCGUAUGCCUCACUAUGUGAUGGACCCGCGGCGCAUUAGCUAGUUGGUGAGAUAAAAGCUCACCAAGGCGACGAUGCGUAGCCGACCUGAGAGGGUGAACGGCCACAUUGGGACUGAGACACGGCCCAGACUCCUACGGGAGGCAGCAGUAGGGAAUUUUCCACAAUGGGGGCAACCCUGAUGGAGCAAUGCCGCGUGAGAGAAGAAGGCCUUCNGGUUGUAAAUCUCUGUUGUAAGGGAAGAAAAUUGAUAAGAGGAAAUGCUUAUUAAGUGACGGUACCUUACCAGAAAGCCACGGCUAACUACGUGCCAGCAGCCGCGGUAAU
rnacentral:rRNA from 1 species